GUACACUCCUACGGGAGGCAGCAGUGGGGAAUUUUGGACAAUGGGCGAAAGCCUGAUCCAGCAAUGCCGCGUGUGUGAAGAAGGCCUUCGGGUUGUAAAGCACUUUUGUCCGGAAAGAAAUCCUUGGCUCUAAUACAGUCGAGGGAUGACGGUACCGGAAGAAUAAGCACCGGCUAACUACGUGCCAGCAGCCGCGGUAAUACGUAGGGUGCGAGCGUUAAUCGGAAUUACUGGGCGUAAAGCGUGCGCAGGCGGUUUGCUAAGACCGAUGUGAAAUCCCCGGGCUCAACCUGGGAACUGCAUUGGUGACUGGCAGGCUAGAGUAUGGCAGAGGGGGGUAGAAUUCCACGUGUAGCAGUGAAAUGCGUAGAGAUGUGGAGGAAUACCGAUGGCGAAGGCAGCCCCCUGGGCCAAUACUGACGCUCAUGCACGAAAGCGUGGGGAGCAAACAGGAUUAGAAACCCCGGUAGUCCCAUGAU
rnacentral:rRNA from 1 species